UCUUACCAUGCAGUCGAACGAUGAAGCCCUGCUUGCAGGGUGGAUUAGUGGCGAACGGGUGAGUAACACGUGAGUAACCUGCCCCCGACUCUGGGAUAAGCCCGGGAAACUGGGUCUAAUACCGGAUAUGACUUCCUACUGCAUGGUGGGUUGUUGAAAGAUUUAUCGGUGGGGGAUGGACUCGCGGCCUAUCAGCUUGUUGGUGAGGUAAUGGCUCACCAAGGCGACGACGGGUAGCCGGCCUGAGAGGGUGACCGGCCACACUGGGACUGAGACACGGCCCAGACUCCUACGGGAGGCAGCAGUGGGGAAUAUUGCACAAUGGGCGGAAGCCUGAUGCAGCGACGCCGCGUGAGGGAUGACGGCCUUCGGGUUGUAAACCUCUUUCAGUAGGGAAGAAGCGAAAGUGACGGUACCUGCAGAAGAAGCGCCGGCUAACUACGUGCCAGCAGCCGCGGUAAUACGUAGGGCGCAAGCGUUAUCCGGAUUUAUUGGGCGUAAAGAGCUCGUAGGCGGUUUGUCGCGUCUGCCGUGAAAGUCCGAGGCUCAACCUCGGAUCUGCGGUGGGUACGGGCAGACUAGAGUGAUGUAGGGGAGACUGGAAUUCCUGGUGUAGCGGUGAAAUGCGCAGAUAUCAGGAGGAACACCGAUGGCGAAGGCAGGUCUCUGGGCAUUUACUGACGCUGAGGAGCGAAAGCAUGGGGAGCGAACAGGAUUAGAUACCCUGGUAGUCCAUGCCGUAAACGUUGGGCACUAGGUGUGGGGGACAUUCCACGUUUUCCGCGCCG
rnacentral:rRNA from 1 species